AGAUUGAACGCUGGCGGCAUGCCUUACACAUGCAAGUCGAACGGCAGCACGGGAGCAAUCCUGGUGGCGAGUGGCGAACGGGUGAGUAAUACAUCGGAACGUGCCCAGUUGUGGGGGAUAGCCCGGCGAAAGCCGGAUUAAUACCGCAUACGACCUACGGGUGAAAGCGGGGGAUCGCAAGACCUCGCGCUAUUGGAGCGGCCGAUGUCGGAUUAGCUUGUUGGUGGGUAAAAGCCCACCAAGGCUACGAUCCGUAGCUGGUCUGAGAGGACGACCAGCCACACUGGGACUGAGACACGGCCCAGACUCCUACGGGAGGCAGCAGUGGGGGAAUUUUGGACAAUGGGCGCAAGCCUGAUCCAGCCAUCGCCGCGUGCGGGAAGAAGGCCGUUC
rnacentral:rRNA from 1 species